CUCUUUACUGUAAAUGUGAUCUCUUCUUCGUGUCCAAAUAUACAAAUGGAACCAUGGGUUUUAAACUGAUUGUCCUCCAACUAAUCCUGCUACUCAAUAUAUCAGGUUGUCUGGGUGAGAGUAUCAGUUUGUCCUGCAGUCCUCACACUAUCUGUGCUCUGCGGGAUUCAGAGGUGACCGUGAGAUGCUCUUACCCAGACAUCAGAAUCAAAUCUGUCUUCUGGUUCAGCUUUAAACAGAA